rnacentral:SRP_RNA from 1 species
AACCCCUCGUGCGGCGAUAUCUCGCCCAACUCCCCCAGGGCCGGAAGGCAGCAAGGGUAAGCGGGCUCUGUCGGGUGCGCGAGGGGCCUUU